rnacentral:rRNA from 1 species
GAUGAACGCUGGCGGCGUGCCUAAUACAUGCAAGUCGAGCGAACAGACGAGGAGCUUGCUCCUCUGACGUUAGCGGCGGACGGGUGAGUAACACGUGGAUAACCUACCUAUAAGACUGGGAUAACUUCGGGAAACCGGAGCUAAUACCGGAUAAUAUAUUGAACCGCAUGGUUCAAUAGUGAAAGACGGUUUUGCUGUCACUUAUAGAUGGAUCCGCGCCGCAUUAGCUAGUUGGUAAGGUAACGGCUUACCAAGGCAACGAUGCGUAGCCGACCUGAGAGGGUGAUCGGCCACACUGGACCUGAGACCCGGUCCAGACUCCUACGGGAGGCAGCAGUAGGGAAUCUUCCGCAAUGGGCGAAAGCCUGACGGAGCAACGCCGCGUGAGUGAUGAAGGUCUUCGGAUCGUAAAACUCUGUUAUUAGGGAAGAACAAAUGUGUAAGUAACUAUGCACGUCUUGACGGUACCUAAGCAGAAAGCCACGGCUAACUACGU